rnacentral:rRNA from 1 species
CCUGACUGCUAUCGGAUUGAUACUAAGCCAUGCGAGUCAUUGUAGCAAUACAAGGCAGACGGCUCAGUAACACGUAGUCAAUCUACCCUAUGGACGGGGAUAACCUCGGGAAACUGAGGAUAACACCCGAUAGAUCAUAAUGCCUGGAACGGUUUAUGGUUCAAACGAUUCGUCGCCGUAGGAUGGGACUGCGGCCUAUCAGCUUGUUGGUGAGGUAAUGGCCCACCAAGGCUAUUACAGGUACGGGCUCUGAGAGGAGAAGCCCGGAGAUGGGUACUGAGACACGGACCCAGGCCCUAUGGGGCGCAGCAGGCGAGAAACCUUUGCAAUGUGCGCAAGCACGACAAGGUUAAUCCGAGUGUUUCCUGCUAAAGGAAUCUUUUGUUAGUUGUAAAACCACUAUCGAAUAAGGGGUGGGCAAGUUCUGGUGUCAGCCGCCGCGGUAAAACCAGCACCUCAAGUGGUCAGGAUGUUUAUUGGGCCUAAAGCAUCCGUAGCCGGCUUUGUAAGUUUUCGGUUAAAUCUAUAUGCUCAACAUAUAGGCUGCCGGGAAUACUGCAAAGCUAGGGAGUGGGAGAGGUAGACGGUACUCCGUAGGAAGGGGUAAAAUCCUUUGAUCUAUGGAUGACCACCUGUGGCGAAGGCGGUCUACCAGAACACGUCUGACGGUGAGGGAUGAAAGCUGGGGGAGCAAACCGGAUUAGAUACCCGGGUAGUCCCAGCUGUAAACGAUGCAGACUCGGUGAUGCAUUGGCUUGUGGCCAGUGCAGUGCCACAGGGAAGCCGUUAAGUUUGCCGCCUGGGAAGUACGUACGCAAGUAUGAAACUUAAAGGAAUUGGCGGGGGAGCACCACAAGGGGUGAAGCCUGCGGUUC